ACGGAAGGUAGCAGUAGGGAAUAUUGCACAAUGGGGGAAACCCUGAUGCAGCGACGCCGCGUGAGCGAUGAAGUAUUUCGGUAUGUAAAGCUCUAUCAGCAGGGAAGAUAAUGACGGUACCUGACUAAGAAGCCCCGGCUAACUACGUGCCAGCAGCCGCGGUAAUACGUAGGGGGCAAGCGUUAUCCGGAUUUACUGGGUGUAGAGGGAGUGUAGGUGGUUUGGCAAGCCAGAUGUGGAAGCCCGGGGCGCAACCCCGCAGACUGCAUUUGGAACUGUUAAACUUGAGUGCAGGAGAGGAAAGUGGAAUUCCUAGUGUAGCGGUGAAAUGCGUAGAUAUUAGGAGGAACACCAGUGGCGAAGGCGGCUUUCUGGACUGUAACUGACACUGAGGCUCGAAAGCGUGGGGAGCAAACAGGAUUAGAUACCCUGGUA
rnacentral:rRNA from 1 species